CAUGCAGGUUGUCUUAUCGUCUUGAUGGCAAACAUCAGGAAGGAAAGUCCGGGCAACUUCAGGAAUCGUACCCCGGGAAAACCGGGGGUGCUGACGGUAAACGCCAGUAACAGAAAGUGCCACAGAAACAAGUAGCCUUGACGGGCUUCCGUCACGGUGAUAGUGAAAAGGCGGGGUAAGAGCCCACCGUACCAAAGGUAACUUUGGUAGCCAGGCAAACCUUACGAGUUGAAAGAUCAAAUAGGCCCCGAUCAGAAACCUGAUUCGAUCCUGACCAUCCGUCAGGAUAUCGGGGUGGGUAGAUCGAUUGAUCCUGACGAUAUCGUCAGGGCUAGAUAAAUGAUAAGAACCGGAUGGGAAACCUUCCGGAUACAGAACCCGGCUUACAGACCUGCAUUUUUU
rnacentral:RNase_P_RNA from 1 species